UACGAAGGGUGCAAGCGUUAAUCGGAAUUACUGGGCGUAAAGCGUGCGUAGGCGGUGAGUUAAGUCUGUCGUGAAAUCCCCGGGCUCAACCUGGGAAUGGCGAUGGAUACUGGCUCGCUAGAGUGUGAUAGAGGAUGGUGGAAUUCCCGGUGUAGCGGUGAAAUGCGUAGAGAUCGGGAGGAACAUCAGUGGCGAAGGCGGCCAUCUGGGCUGACACUGACGCUCAUGCACGAAAGCGUGGGGAGCAAACAGG
rnacentral:rRNA from 1 species